GCUGAUGAUAUUGCCGUACAAAUGUUUAUGAGGCACUUUUGUUAUUAAACUGCCAAUGACAGCUCGAAAUUGAACGUUGAGACUAAAUGCCAGUAUUAUGGGUAAAGUUGAAAAGGCUGUCGAGUUUUUGUGUGUCAAGAACAUCCGAUAGUGAAAGAGAAUUGAUCUAAUAAGGUGGUUGAAAGGUAAUCAAAUGGCCAGCUUUUUCUUUUCUUCUCCUAUACCGGAAGGUGUUCCGCACAUGCUAAAUGCUAGCCAUCCCUCGUAGGUAUGUUGCUGUCUUGACCCAGUCGUGGCUCAAUGAUUUCAUUGCAUUGACUGCAUGGAUUUUGCUCACACACGCGCAUGCGCGCGUGCACACACGGAU
rnacentral:lncRNA from 1 species